rnacentral:precursor_RNA from 1 species
GCUUUCGCAAUUUGCCGCACCCGUAAGUGAGCCUGGGUGGGGCAAAUUGCGAAAGCUG